UUUAAAGUCUAAUCUGCCCAAUGAGGAGUUUAAUGGCCGCGGUAUUUUGACCGUGCGAAGGUAGCAUAAUAAUUAGUUUUUUAAUUGAAAGCUGGAAUGAAUGAUUGGACGAGAAAAUAGCUGUCUCAAUUUAGUUUAAUUAGAAUUUUAUUUUUGAGUUAAAAAGCUUAAAUUUUUUUAAAAGACGAGAAGACCCUAUAGAGUUUUAUAUAAUAUAUUAUAUUAUUUUUAUAGUAUAUUUUUGUUAUUAUAAUAUGUUAUAUUUUAUUGGGGUGAUAGAAAAAUUUAAGGAACUUUUUUUUUAUUUUUUACAUUAAUUUAUGAUAAAUUGAUCCAUUAUUUAUGAUUAUAAGAUUAAAUUACCUUAGGGAUAACAGCGUAAUUUUCUUUUAGAGUUCUUAUCGAAAGGAAAGAUUGCGACCUCGAUGUUGGAUUAAAAUAUAGGUUUGGUGUAGAAGCUAAGCUAUUAGGUCUGUUCGACCUUUAAAAUUUUACA
rnacentral:rRNA from 1 species